rnacentral:misc_RNA from 1 species
CAAAGAGAACCGGCGGUGUGGGCCAUCCAGCAAGGGCCAUGACAGGUCCCCCCCACCAACCCGGGAGUAUGGGUGUGACCGGCCCCGUCCAAGAUGGGCAGCAAGGUGGCAGGGCACCGCACCAAGCACAGCAGCUCUCAGCACCGGCCGUCUUCGCCCCACCCCAGGGAACCACGGCGCCGGCCUUCCUACCACCACAACAUCCGCCGCAGCCCCAAGGGACGGGCGGCAGGCAAGGCCUCGCACCACCGCACGCACCAGAAGCCAGCCAAACCCAAGCCCAGUGAGAGGAAGGAGAAGGAGGCUGCCAAGACUGAGAAACCUGCCAAGGAGGGGGAGAGUGUGGGUGGCACAGCCAAGGGGCAGAACUGGCUCCCCAGAGGCAGCCUGGGGGAGAUGCUGCUCAGCAGACCCAAGGUGACCUCCACACACCCAACUUCCACCACCAUCCACAGUGCCCCUCGAGUGCCAGUGGAGGGCCUCAGGGCACCUGCCAAGGCCAAGCAGGACAAGGUUGGUGAUGUGGUGGACACUAAGCCAGCACUGGCGCCACCACCAACACCAGCACCAACACCGGUGGUAGCAGCAGUGGAGGCGGCCAGGGAGCUGCCUACACUGGACCAGGAGGAUGACGAGGAGCUGCAGCUGAGAUACAUUGCUAUCCAGUCCUCCCUCAGGUUGCUGACGGACAUGCAGAAAGAAGGCCAGCAGCAGGAGACGGCAAGCGAGGGAGCGUCAGGACUGGCCCCAAUAGACAAGGUGGGGCCAGAUGUCGCCGUACCCCAGGAGGAGGUGGAGCAGGUCCCACCGUUAGAGAAGGGCACGACACACCCGAAAUCCUACACCCCUCCGCUGGGAGCCAAGCAGGAGGUGGCCGAGAUGGAGCGCACACUGGGAGAGGUGUUGACUAUCCAGAGCACUGACGACAUUGUCUCCAUCUCCAGCAGCUCAUCCUCAGAGAUCUGUCUGGAGAACCUGGCCACCAACAAGAGUUACCUGCAGGCAGCUGUUGGGGAGGAGCAGGAGGGUGGUGAGGAGGCAGGUGAGGCCAAGGGUGCCGAUGAGGCCAGGAGGAAGGCCAGGGAGCGGCCUGAUGUGGAUCAGGACCCCGUGGACAUGGAGAUCUGCGACAGCUCCGGGGAGGAUGAGGGCGGGGUUGGCACGGUGGAGGUGGUGCGGGACAGUCCUCUCUCCCCGGAGGUGGACCAGGAUGCAGGGCAGGGUGUUGUUGAUCCCCCAGCCAAGGGGGAAGGUGCAGCGCAGGGCAGCGAGAGCGUUGGCAGCAGCAACUUCCAAAUUCCAGUGGAGUGGGCAUACAUGGUGCCGCCGCCACCGCCGCCUGACCAGCCAGCCAAUGACCUGCAGAACAUCAGCAGCUGGUGCUAUGACCAGAACAUGUACCUGCAGUCCAUGCAGGCUGCACCCACUGAAGAACACCACCACCAGCACCAGGUCCACCACCAGCAACAACAACAGCAGCAGCAGCAGCAGCAGCAGCAACAGCAACAGCAACAGCAACACCAGCACCAGCACCAGCAGCAGCAGCAGCAACAGCAGCAGCAGCACAACCAGCCUGACACAGGAGGUGGUGAAUGGGUGCCACCACAGCCCCUCACUGCCCCAUGGCCGCCACCCUUCAUGGAUUCCUAUGACAACGGCCACCCAUCUGGCAUGGCGGACAACACUGCUGGAGCAGGUGGCAUGGGCCUGCACCCCCACCACCACAACUAUGCUCCUCCAGAGGUGGCCCCGGCCCAGGAGGCAGGCGGAGAGCAGAGCAAGGACCUGAGGGACACUCCUGCUGAGCACUACCAGGCCUUCAUGUCUGCCGUGCUGCAGCAGCAGAGUCCUAAACCCAAGAGCAGUGCCACAUUCACUGAGUGCCCCCAGCGCAAUCUGAUCAUGGUGCCCCUCAGUGGCACCCACCACUCCAAGGCCAUCCCUGCUGCCUCUAGGAAGGCCAAAGUGCAGAAGCAGCGUGCCAAGAAGCGCCGCCUCAAGAAGCAGAGAGCCCAGGAGAACCUGCAGCAGGUCACCACCAGCAGCACCCAGGCAGCAGCGGCAGCAGCAGGGGAGGAAGAGGAUGAGGAGGACGAGGAUUUGCUGAGGGCGCAGCUGCUCAUUGACAUGUCCAGGAAGAAGGAGCAGCGCAUCAACGAGUCCCAAGGUCCACCACCCACCACCACCAUCGCCACCACUGCUGCACUGCCGCUGCCCCUCCCCACCCCUGCCAGCAGGGUGGCAGUGGCGGCAGCAGGGAGGGAAGGCUACGAAGGCCGGGCGUCACCCCAGGCAUUGCUGCCAUCCUCCGAGUCACUCUCCCCAGUGCCACGGAGUCUGAGGAUGGUGAAGAGCUUUGCCACUCGGCCCAGGAGUGGUGAGAACAGCCCCACGCACUCCUUCAGAGCAGACCUGCGGCCGGGACUUUCUGACAUCGGGGGCUGGGGCCUAGACCCCAAGGGAAGCAAGUUCAAUUAUCACGGUACGCAGCACGAUUUCCCCCACAGGAGUGGCAGUGGCGAUGCCCCGAAGGUGAAGUUCCCGCCCAUCAAGCCCAUCAUCAUCAGCCUGAGGUCUGACUCUGAGGACUCUGAGGAGGAGGACAACAGCAGCCAGGGCACUUCCUCUCAGGACUCUGGCAGAAAGGAGGCAGAAGCAGAGUGUCUGGCUGGAGAACCCAUGAGCCAGAGCAUCGACAUCCUGCUGAAGAGCAUGAGAAAUGCCAACCCCGCUGCCAAAGACCACGACACCCCAGCCCACCCGAAGCCAGGCCCCAGCACCACUACCUCCACUCCCACCCCUGCCCGUGCCCCCACAGCCAAGAGACACCAGGAGGUAGCAGACAACACACCACAGGCAGUGCGUCACCUGAGCCGCCACCAGCAGGAGGUGUACCGCUGGCUGAAGGAGCAGCUGCGCAAGAAGGAGAUGCUCAGCGUGCAGCGGAAGAAGAUGCAGCAGAGGCCACUCAGAACUAAGCCCUCCAAACCCUUGCUGCCGAUGUCACAUUCGCUGAGCCCUGACAGCGCCAAGGGCAAUGCCAGUCUUAGCUUUGGCGAUGAUCACGCCUGCUCCGUGUCCCCUGCUAAGGAGGUGCCGGGUGAGGCGGGCAGUGAGGGCAUGCCUUCCUCUGCCAGGGCAGUGACCUGGAAGAACAUGGGUCUGCUGCAGAUACAGGUGUCCAAUGAAGGUGCCCUGGACAUGUCCACCGAGAGUGAGGACAGCUGCAGGGGCCAGCAGGCACAGCAGAGCCAGGCUGUGGAGGGCUACUCCUCUCUUGAUGCCUCAGCCACGGAGGACGAGGACGAGGAGACCCUAAGGAGGAUGGCACUGCUCACCCAGAAGAAGAAGAUGGAGGGCAGUGCUGUGGAGGGUCAGCAGCAGAGGGUGGUCAUCGAGGAGAAGAAGGCAGAGGAGAGUGGGAAUACUGUGGAGUCUGAGGUGACGGAGGUAGAGGACGCGCCGACAGACACACUGGAGGAGCACCCGGAGGACGGCUUGAAGGGAGAGUGGAUGGUGCUGGACGAGGUGCGGGAAGAGGAACUGUGCAUCAGGAGCGAGCUGUCCGAGAAUGAGAUGGAUGAGUGUGGAGAAGGUGAUGACACCAGCGAUGUCACAGAGUCCAUCAGUAGGUCACCAGAGAGGCUUGCAUCCCAGAGUGUGGAGGGCAGGCAGGAUACACCCAAGGAGGAGCAGCAGACACUCAGUAAGAAUACCGAGUCGAAAAUUAGUGAAGGUGAUGCAUCGACGAAUGACACAACCACAGAUUCACACCAAGCAGCACCACUGGACCCUGAAGGUGGCAGCAGCAGCAGUGUGGCACGGGAGGAAGCCAGGGACCAGCCGGCAGUGAAGACAGACUCCAAGCAGACAGCAGAGGCCAGCUGUGACGGGGAGAAGAUUGAGGAAGUGAUCAGGAGGAUAGAGAGCAAGACCAGAGUAGUGCGAGAGAAGGCCGGGAGUGAAGACCCUUCUCUGGAGCCAAAGAAGAGCAGCAUAUCUACUCAGGGCGGUGGCAAGGUGAACAGUACCAGCUCUGCCCCGGCCCAGGAAAGGAAGGUGGUAGAAGUGCCAGACAAGGAGGGAAGCAGAAUCAAGGCUAAUGAAGGGGACAUGAAGCAGACAGGUACACCACACCCUGUCACUGAGGGAACCAUCUCUCAGCUAGUCAAACCCUCCACUGCUACAGCAAGCACAACAAGUUCCUCUGUAGACACACACAAGGUUGCUGCAAAGACUACAGAGAGGAAAGAAGGCAAGGCAGUGUCCGAGCGCAUAGUGGUGAUUCCCGAUGCCUCAGCACUGGCCAGGAGGAAGGUGAAGGUAGUGAGGACAGCCGUUGCAGACACACAAGUUGAGGCAGUGAAGAUGUCCUCAGUCGUCCCCGGUGUGACGGCCGUGACCAACGGAACUAUGGUGGCACCUCAGGAGGCAGAGAAGUUGAAGAGAGUGGAGAAAGAUUACAGGGAAAAGAAGAGCAUGAUGAACAAGCUGAAGAUGCAGCUGGCUGACCUACUGAAGGAGGUGAAAGAGGAGCAGAGACAGAGGGAGGAGCUGAAGCGGACUGUUGGAGAGCUGAGGGCCAAACUGAAAGACAUGGAGAUGCAGCUGGAGAGCAAGUCCAGCGGAAUGCAUAGCAAGAUUGAGGUAAUUCGGCGGCUCCAGCAGCAGAGGGACAAGGAUCAGCAGGCACUAACACUCCUGGAGCAUCAAGGAGAGCGGAUCGGCAAGCGGGUUUAUGGCAAUGGCUACACUUUCCCCAAGGUCCUCCCCUCCUCCCCGAACUCUAAGACCAAGGAUGCACACAUCACCAAGUCCCUGGCGAGUAGUAUUGCUGCCAUUCAGCAGCAGAUGCGUAACCUCACCAAGAGGAAGAACAACCUGGUGUCUGGAGUUACCAAAGGAGGAGGAGAGACUAGAGUGGUGAGGGCAUUGGCCCUAGAACCCAAGAAGGAGUCUGCCACAGGGAAUAACAAACCUGAGAAAGCCCUCCUCCAGGUGUCCCAGGGGAAGGCACCACCAGACCCUGCAGGGAAGCCACAGGGGAAGGUUGCUGCCACUGUGGUGAAGAGAAAAUUUAUCUCCAGUAGUGUGGUGGGCAGUGCCAAGGUUGCCAAGGUGGAAGUGCCAAUGGAAAGCAGUGCCAUUCAAGAGAAGAGAGUGACUGGAGUGCCGUCAGUGCCCACCAAAGCAAAAGGGAAGAAAAUAGUGGAGAAAAAACUUGACGAGAUGAAGGCGCUGUGUCCUCACGAUUUACUGGGUCGCUGCAAUGAUUCAGCUUGCCAGUACCAGCACCUUCCCUCCGCCAGACCCUCCCUGCCGCCCACCACCACCAAGGAAACCGUGCCGGGGACUGACCCUGCUGCUGCCUCCACUAUAAAGAGAGCGAGUGGUGGAAAGACAGGUGCUGGGGUGAAGAUAGUGCCAGCUAGGGGGAGUGACAGUAAAGGUGCUGCAGGUAGGACAGUGGGAGUGACCAAGGCGACAAAAAUGGUGACAAAAGCAGUGGUGUGUGAGUCUAGCAUUCCACAGGUGACUGGGGCGAGUGUGGCGGGACCAGACCAGACUAGCAAGGUUCCUGUGACAGAGACUCAUAGCACACACCAGCAGACCAACACACUGACAGCCACAGACCCACACACACCCACCACACUCCACACUGACACUCAAACAAACACAACUGCAAACACACUCACCACAGACCACACUAUCACACAAACACCAACCACACACCAGGAAACCAAAACACACACUACUACAGAAACACACACACCACAAGAGACAGAAGAAACACUCACCACGACACACUCACACCAGCUGACAGAAGCACAAGACAGCAGGGAGCUAGUCACAACACAGAAUGACACUGCCACACCCACAGCCAUGGAGGAGGAAACAGAAUCGCAAACCGAGGCUCACAAUGGGACAAAAGACAGUGAAGGAGCCUCAGAACAACAGGACAAGAAUGAGACACAGACUCCAACGCCCUCCACAGCACCACAGGGGAGUGAAAUGCAGGAAACACACACUGAAGAGAUUGGGAAAGACGUGCCUCUUCAAAACGAGGCGGCUAUCAAGGAGACGCUACCUAACCCAGAGACUCGGAAUAUGACUUCCCUGGAAAUUGAGAUAGAGAAACCAGGGCAGACAGAUACUCCUGCUGGGAAAGGUACAGAAACACAGGGAUUGGUAGACAGUGCUGGAGGGGAAAUGACAACAGAUGACAAAUUAUCCUCCACAACUCUAACUGCAUUGGAGGUCGAGACAGAGAAACCAGUGCAGGCAGAUACUCCCCCAGACUGCAGGGAAGUAGAUACAGAAACACAAGGGGUACUAGACAUUGCUGAAGGGGAAUUGAAAGUACCAGAGGAAGAUGGACUAUCAACCUCCACCGCCACUGAAGACAAAUCCUCAGCCACCACACCGGGAAUGCCUAAAAAGCCCUUAAAGAAAACCAGGUCACGCGUCACCAGGAGUCGGGCCGUGACCAAGAGUAAUGCAGAAGACAUGGUACCCAGUGACUCACUGGACACAAGCCUGGAGGAGCAGGCUGUGGAGAACAUGGAGGAGGCGUCUACUGAUAACCAGGACACCAGAGUCACGAGGAAGUCCUUGAGAGUGAAGGCAAAGACAUCUCCCAAGUGUCGCAUCUCCCUCAAUGCCACAAGAGCGUCCCCGAGGAGUAACAAGAAGCGGAAAUCUGACAAUGUAGAGAGCCCAUUGAGAAACACAAAGAGGAGGACGUCAACAAGGCUAUAACAAGACACUAGGCAUAAUGCAAACUGGUGCAGCACUAAUACAGAAAUUGUUGCCAUAAUAUCAAGGAUUCUCGCCUGAUAAUUGUGAUAAUGUGCGUAUGUGUGCGUGUGUGUUUGUGUGCGUGUGUCAGUCUUUUGGUGAGGCAGUGACGGACUCAGUGGUUGUUAGGGAGUUUAUCAAGAUGGUAAACUGAAUGUGGGUUUUGUUUAACAUACGAGGGAACAUAGCAGUGUGUGGUGUGUGUCUGGAGUAGUGGAGCUUGGUAUCCAUGACCUUGUAGAUAAGAAGUACAAGUGUGAUAGUUUGUGGUAACCAGAGGAGAGGGCCCAGAAAACCUCACAUUUAUACAAUGGAUGUAUUAUGUAUGUCUUGAGAGUUGUGAUGGAGGGCCUGGAGGAGGGACGGGCCUUGCUGUGGGAGAGACACUUCACAGGAGACAGAUGCCCUUAAGCAGACACCUUGACCUUACUCAAGUACCUGGUGUGUGGCACAGGGGAGGAGUGCUUGGCAGGUGUGGCACAGGGACAAGUGAGGGACAGACAUGAGAGGUGCCAGCUGGGACGCCUGCAGUGCCACAACAUCCUCACAUGUUUGGCGGUCUUUAGUUUGCCGUAAAUACUCAGCUCCAGUGAGAGCAAUACAUUGGUCAGAGUCUGUGAGGCUCUCCCUGAAAUGCAAUGGAAGGCAACAUUAAUCAGUCUGAAAUGUUGACAGAAGCAGAGACUAGUCUGAAAUGUUGACAAAAGCAGCAAAUAUCAGUCUGUAAUGAAACAAGCAUGUCUGAAAUAUGAACAGAAGCAACAAUAAUGAGUCAGAGAUGUGGAUAAGCAAGGAGGAUCAGUCUGAAGUGCAAACAGAAGAGACUAGAGGUGUGUCUUCAGGAAGCUGCAGGAGGAAGGGAGCAGUGAAGCAGUGUUGCCGGCGUGAAGGGGAGCCUCUUGGUGUCAGGGAGCCAGUCAGAGUGGCGAAGUGACAAUCUCAGGGCAUAGUUGUAUUUAAGCAUUUGAUCACUACUUAUCUGUGUGUCUUGAGUAGACUCUUUUUUUACUCUAUUUUCCCUUCCUGGUAGAGUAACAACAGUAUACAAGUUUGCUAUGUAAGAUAUGUGCAGUAUUGAGGCCAUUGCCGAGGUGCCAUCAUGUGCUAUAUUGCCACUACCUGACGUACUUAUCAGUAUACCACUUGACAUACGUAUAGUUUGGCAUAUCAUACUUUAUCAUGUACACUGCCUUUUUGAUAUCCCCCCUAGUGUUUCUAUGCCAUCAAUAACUUUUUAGUUUGGAGUUUUCAGCACGUCUGGGUUGGCCGCUCCACCUCCACUCGUCCAGCCGCCCUCCACCUGAGGAAGUAAACCUACACAUGACAGGUGGAGGAAGAGCUGGGCAGGUGAGGGUGACAGUGAGGCCAGGAUGGGUACAGAACAGGUGGUGUCUGACGCAGUGUGUUCCGCUGUCUCUCUCUCACUCUCUCUGUUUGGGUAUGGUUCACACAGCACACACACACACACACACACACACACACACACACACACACACACACACACACACACACACACACACACACACACACACGCACACACACACUAUUUUUUUGGUCACGUUUGGGUGUUUUGAUAUCUUGUUUUUGGUCUAAUUUAUUAAUAUUUCUGUAUGUUUGCUAGAGAUUGCAGUGUUUUUUGUGAUUUUGUUAAUUUAUCUGCACUGCUAUUAAUACGUUCUGGGAGUUUUGUUUAAUUUCAUUUGUUAUAUAUUUUUUUAUGUAUUGUAAAAAAGUGGGAUAUUUACUAUGGUUUAUUAUUAUUAUUAUUAUUAUUAUUAUUAUUAUUAUUAUUAUUAUUAUUAUUUUUAUUAUUAUUUUUAUUAUUAUUAUUGUUAUUAUUAAUAUUGUUACCACUGGUUAUUAUUGUGAAUGGGACAGCCAAAGUCUAAAACAUAAGAUUAAAUACUUUUUCCUGAAUAUUUACACUUAACAAGACAAUAUUGGCCAUGACUUUGUAACCAGUCAAUGUUCCUUAGCCUUUAGUUCACUGUAGCCCAUAUAGCUUUCUCUCUCCGCACUGCUUAUAGAUUGACACAGGAUGUCCUUUAUUUUCCUCCUAAACUUGUUAUUUUUCUACUCAGUCAUCCCAGUGAGCAGUAUUGAGGAGUGUGAAUGGUAAACCUCUCAAGGAACACCCCACCUCCACCCUCCUUAGUCCCUUCCUAGCCUGCCCCUGCACCUCCCCACUCCCCAGUGAUUAGUGCACUAGCCAGCUGCUGUGGUGUGGUGCGGCACAACUCUACUUCAGGCUAACAGUGGCAGCAGGACUAGGGAGCAGUGCGGUUUGGUGUGGCUAGGCUUGCCAGCACGGCGGAGGAGGCCCUCAUGCAUGUAUGACUGCCGGACUGCCACAGCAUCUUCCCGGAUCCCUGCCUCCUUUCCAUCCUGGCCCAAGGGACGUUCCUGGCCAUGGGCGGCCAGUGGAGUAAUUGUUUGGAGAUGUCGUCAAGGGGUAAAGCUAGAGAGUGGGGUCGGUGGUGGUCAGCUGGUCAUUAUGUUCGCCUGUGUCCUUCAUUGUCACUUCUGCUGUAAGUACAGUCAUGGCACAAAUGCUCACACUUGUGCAUGAUUGGCUGUGAUUUUGUACAUAUAUGUAAGUGUACAUAACCUGUUACAGUUCAAAUACAAAUAAAUUUACAUGAAGGAA